CUAGUUGGUAGUGUAAUAGACAACCAAGGCGACGAUCAGUAGCUGGUCUGAGAGGACGAUCAGCCACACUGGGACUGAGACACGGCCCAGACUCCUACGGGAGGCAGCAGUGGGGAAUUUUCCGCAAUGGGCGAAAGCCUGACGGAGCAAUACCGCGUGAGGGAGGAAGGCUCUUGGGUCGUAAACCUCUUUUCUCAGGGAAGAAAAAAAUGACGGUACCUGAGGAAUAAGCAUCGGCUAACUCCGUGCCAGCAGCCGCGGUAAUACGGAGGAUGCAAGCGUUAUCCGGAAUGAUUGGGCGUAAAGCGUCCGCAGGUGGCGAUGUAAGUCUGCUGUUAAAGCGUCUAGCUCAACUAGAUAAAAGCAGUGGAAACUACUUACGCUAGAGUGCGUUCGGGGCAGAGGGAAUUCCUGGUGUAGCGGUGAAAUGCGUAGAGAUCAGGAAGAACACCAGUGGCGAAGGCGCUCUGCUAGGCCGCAACUGACACUGAGGGACGAAAGCUAGGGGAGCGAAUGGGAUUAGAUACCCCAGUAGUCCUAGCCGUAAACGAUGGAUACUAGGCGUGGCUUGUAUCGACCCGAGCCGUGCCGUAGCUAACGCGUUAAGUAUCCCGCCUGGGGAGUACGCCGGCAACGGUGAAACUCAAAGGAAUUGACG
rnacentral:rRNA from 1 species